rfam:Oryza sativa Japonica Group DNA, chromosome 12, cultivar: Nipponbare, complete sequence.
AAUAAAUACAGCUUUGUACGAUUUAUGUUCAAUGUUUGAUCGUUUAUCUUAUUUGAAAUUUUUUAUGAUUAGUAUUUUUAUUGUUAUUAAAUGAUAAAACAUGAAUAGUACUUUAUGUAUGACUAUUUUCUUUAUUUUUUAUAAAUUUUUUAAAUAAGACAGACGGUCAAACGUCAGAUCCAGAUACUUCGCGGCUACAUUUAUU